GAUCGUGUAGCUCAGCCGGUAGAGCAACGGCCUUUUAAGCCGUGGGCCCUGGGUUCGAGUCCCAGCACGAUCACCA
rnacentral:tRNA from 1 species